AUUGAACGCUGGCGGCAGGCCUAACACAUGCAAGUCGAACGAGUGGCGGACGGGUGAGUAAUGUCUGGGGAUCUGCCUGAUGGCGGGGGAUAACUACUGGAAACGGUAGCUAAUACCGCAUACCAUCAGAUGUACCCAUAUGGGAUUAGCUAGUAGGUGGGGUAACGGCUCACCUAGGCGACGAUCCCUAGCUGGUCUGAGAGGAUGACCAGCCACACUGGGACUGAGACACGGCCCAGACUCCUACGGGAGGCAGCAGUGGGGAAUAUUGCACAAUGGGCGCAAGCCGGAUGCAGCCAUGCCGCGUGUAUGAAGAAGGCCUUCGGGUUGUAAAGUACUUUCAGUGGGGAGGCGUUACCGACAGAAGAAGCACCGGCUAACUCCGUGCCAGCCGCCGCGGUAAUUC
rnacentral:rRNA from 1 species